rnacentral:rRNA from 1 species
UACGUAGGUCCGGAGCGUUGUCCGGAUUUAUUGGGCGUAAAGCGAGCGCAGGUGGUUUAUUAAGUCUGGUGUAAAAGGCAGUGGCUCAACCAUUGUAUGCAUUGGAAACUGGUAGACUUGAGUGCAGGAGAGGAGAGUGGAAUUCCAUGUGUAGCGGUGAAAUGCGUAGAUAUAUGGAGGAACACCGGUGGCGAAAGCGGCUCUCUGGCCUGUAACUGACACUGAGGCUCGAAAGCGUGGGGAGCAAACAGG